rnacentral:rRNA from 1 species
GACGAACGCUGGCGGCGUGCUUAACACAUGCAAGUCGAGCGGACAGGCCCUGGUUUUGUGGGGUGCUCGGGUGGCGAACGGGUGGGUACCACGGGUGUGACUCGCCAUUGCCUUUGGGAUCACUUGAGGAUACUGGGGAUAAUAGCGGAUAGGAGCGCCUGCUGCCUGGAGGGGGUUGGCAAGUCUCGUCGGUUGGGGAGGGACUCGCGGCGUAUCAGCUUGUUGGGUGGGUAGUGGCUUACCAAGGCUUUGACGGGUAGCCGGCCUGAGAGGGUGACCGGCCACAUUGGGACUGAGAUACGGCCCAGACUCCUACGGGAGGCAGCAGAGCGGAAUAGUGCACAAUGGGCGGAAGCCAGAUGCAGCAACGCCGCGUGCGGGAAGACGGCCUUCGGGUUGUAAACCGCUUUCGCCUGUGACGAAGCGUGAGUGACGGUAAUGGGUAAAGAAGCACCGGCUAACUACGUG